rnacentral:rRNA from 1 species
AUUGAACGCUGGCGGCAGGCCUAACACAUGCAAGUCGAGCGGAGCGGCGGACGGGAGAGUAAUGCCUAGGAAUCUGCCUGGUAGCGGGGGAUAACGUCCGGAAACGGGCGCUAAUCCCGCAUACUUUCAGAUGAGUCUAGGUCGGAUUAGCGAGUUGGGGGGGUAAAGGCCGACCAAGGCGACGAUCCGUAACUGGUCUGAGGGGAUGAUCAGUCACACUGGAACUGGGACACGGUCCAGACUCCUACGGGAGGCAGCAGUGGGGAAUAUUGGACAAUGGGCGAAAGCCUGAUCCAGCCAUGCCGCGUGUCUGAAGAAGGUCUUCGGAUUGUAAAGCACUUUAAGUUGGGAGGCGUUACCAACAGAAUAAGCACCGGCUAACUUCGUGCCAGCAGCCGCGGUAAUAC